GGUUUUGAAGGCUUUUCUUGAGGUGGUUUGCACGCUUGGAAGUGUAGUUUUUGUAAGCAUCUUACUCAUACGUGGAAUAUGGUCCGGGAUAACCUAUCUACAAGAAAGCCGGUAUCUUAAGAUGAAUGAACUUGAUGAUGACCACGCGUGGACUGGCACACAACCUGCAACUUGAUUUGUCUACUCAGAAUACGAAAUGAUACAAGGAUUCAAUCCCAAUCAAGAAUGAAGGCAUCAUUAGAAUAAAGCAUCCAAAAUAAAGGAUGUUGAGAAGAUGGGAUAAGGGGAUUUCAGUUAGCAUGUCAAAUAAUUUACUGAUAUGAAAGUUGCUUCUCACAUGAAGAUCCAGCAGAGCAUAUUCCAAUUUGAUAUUAAUAGAGAACUGGAACUAAAAACAGAGGAAAGAUUUAGCUGUAUGUGGGUGGGCAUGACUGCCCCUUUAUAUAUUCACACAAAGUACAUUCAUCUAUUAGUUCAUUUAGUUUAUCAUGUAGUACUCUUUAGCUCAAAUUUACAUGUUAACAUCACAUUAACAAUGUUGUAUUAUAAUCAUUCUCAAGCUUAUAAGUGAGGUGAAAUCAUCCCAUUUCUG
rnacentral:misc_RNA from 1 species